rnacentral:lncRNA from 1 species
UAUCCAAAGUUUCAGAAAGAAAUUUAUUCUUCUUUGGAUCAUUAUCAUCAUUCAAGACAACCCCAUCCUUAUACAGUUUAUCUAUGUCAGUGAAGUUUGUAAAGGGAAUGUCUGAGCUUGACAAUGUAGCCGCAAUUAAUGGUACCAGGUUAUGUAACAGAGCUUUCAACCUUCCAGCAGAAAAAGUAUUUUGCUUAAUUUCUUCAAAAGUUUCAUCUCUAGGGACGUAAACUGGAUGAGGCUUCUCUAUUCUUUUCUCUGCAAGUGGAUCUUUCAGCAUCCAAAGAUCAAGAAAAAGUCGGUAUAAGAAUGUCGGGGCAACAAACUAAAUGAAAAAUAUACUCUUCAGCAGAAUGCUCAGUACCUUUCUUAGUUGGACCUCUACCAGUCCGACAGCGCCUAGGAUAAGGUUUCUCUUUGCCACCUACCAGUGGCCUAGCAAGAUCCUCACUUUUGUCAGGAUUGCCUAAAUCAUUAUAAACAUCAUAAUCAUAGAUUCGUUCAUGUAGCUUCCUUUCGCCUUUACCAUUGCCACGAAUGCUCAACAAGUCUUCACGUCGAAGAUCCUUGAUACCAGGUGGUGUUUGAGAUGGUAGAUAUGCCUGUUAUAAAAUGCAACGACAUCCUUGAUCAAGCACCAUUAUCUACUUUGCUAAUGAAAAUGAAAAAGUAAAAUCAUUUGAAAGUAUGUGGCUUACCUGAUUUUGGAAGAUAAUUCUACUCUCUGGAUUAUCUUUUUGAGAGUGUAUCCAUGUAUUAACACUAAAGAAUAAAGGUCCUUCAUUAAAGCCAUGAACAACAAUCUGCACCAAGUGUAUCUCUUUGUCAAGGAGAUUGGUAAUAAUGAUAGCGCCAGGACGUCCAAAAUUGUGUGGUACAGUGAAAUUUGCAGCAUAUUCAACUAUAUGUGGAUGAUCAGAAGGCUUGGACAACCAACCCCUCACAUAAGACUCCGCAAACUUUCCCGAUUUGGUAACUGUGAGCAGAAUAUAGUUUUAGUACUUCAUUAACCUCAGAAUACUACUCUGAAGUGUCCAGUGGAAAUGAUGUUUAUGUCGUAUGCAUCCACCAGUCACAAUAAACGGAAUCAUUAUGAACUAAGUUUGCAACAUACUGUGUUGGCAACCAAGUCUUUCACAACAUGAAACAAGAUAAAUGAACUAAAAGGCACCCAGAAAUACUAAAAAGUAGGAAAGAUAAUACAGUUGAGAACAAAAGGCACAAAAAGAAUAGAUGAUGACAAUGUAUAUCUGCACUAGGUGGUCUUUUCCACUUUCCACCAAACCAUAUGUAUAAUAAUUAACCAUAGCUAACUAAUCUAUAAGUUUAUGUGCUAACUCAUUUCAUACAGUUAUAAGUCAGGUGUACACACCAUGUACUAAUAAGUUUUUCCUUCAUUUUGCUCCCACAAAAAUAACAACAUACCCAGUGAAUCCCCCAAAAAAAGGUUAUGGGGAGGGUAAAGUGUACACAGUCCUUACCACUACCUCUCCGAAGUAGAGAGAUUGUUUCCGAAAGACCUCUGCUCAAGCAACUCAAAGCAGUAAUAAAAAAAGGCAGUGGGGGUUUUAAAUAAUUUUUAAAAAGAUAGAUGGUCUUUCGAGAACAACCUCUCUAUUUCCAAGAGGUAGUGAUAAGGUCUGCGCACACUCUACCCUCCCCAGACUCCACUGAUUGGGAUUUCAUUGGGUAUGUUUUUGUUGUAGAGGGUCUUUCGGAAACAGACUCUCUACCUCCACAAAUAAUGUAUGGUAAAGUCUUCGUACACUAAACCUCCCCCCCAGAGCUCACUUGUGAAAGGAGGAGGGGUGGGGGGUGGGGGGGUUUCAAGCAAGUCAAUGAACCAUAUUGAACUCAAGACAGCAAAAAUGAAAAUGAAAACAGAUCAAAGAAAAAACAUUAACUAUAGAACUCAACUGGUACAAUAAUAAACUCAUGAAGUUUGUAAAGGGAAUGUCUGAGCUUGACAAUGUAGCCGCAAUUAAUGGUACCAGGUUAUGUAACAGAGCUUUCAACCUUCCAGCAGAAAAAGUAUUUUGCUUAAUUUCUUCAAAAGUUUCGUCUCUAGGGACGUAAACUGGAUGAGGUUUCUCUAUUCUUCUUUCUGCAAGUGGAUCUUUCAGCAUCCAAAGAUCAAGAAAAAGUCGGUAUA